rnacentral:rRNA from 1 species
CAGUCGCCGCGGGAAUACGGAGGGGGCUAGCGUUGUUCGGAAUUACUGGGCGUAAAGCGCACGUAGGCGGACAUUUAAGUCAGGGGUGAAAUCCCGGGGCUCAACCCCGGAACUGCCUUUGAUACUGGGUGUCUAGAGUAUGGAAGAGGUGAGUGGAAUUCCGAGUGUAGAGGUGAAAUUCGUAGAUAUUCGGAGGAACACCAGUGGCGAAGGCGGCUCACUGGUCCAUUACUGACGCUGAGGUGCGAAAGCGUGGGGAGCAAACAGGAUUAGAUACCCCGGUAGUCCCUGUCUCUUAUAC